GCAGGUAUAGCUCAGUGGUAGAAUGCGUGCUUAGCAUGAAGAAGGUCCCGGGUUUAAUCCCCAGUAACUGCA
rnacentral:tRNA from 1 species